rfam:Gossypium hirsutum cultivar TM-1 chromosome 26, whole genome shotgun sequence
AGUUAAAAAUUUUAUCUAUUUUGACAAUUAAAAUUAGCAUGGUUAAUAAAAUAACUAAAAAAUUACACGUUGUGUGCCAUGUGUACCUCAUUAUAACAUAUAAGGAUAAGUUUUUAACAAUAAAAAUAGAUGAAAUUUUUAAUA